rnacentral:lncRNA from 1 species
AAAUCCCUUUUCACUUGUCAGGGUUUCGGAUCCUUGUUCUUGCUGCUUUCUUCUGGCAUUUAUGUUUGAUUAAUUGAAUAGAUUUUGUUGAACAAACUUCCUUUACAUGGUUACUUAUUUGACAUUCUGAGGAUAACUUGAUUUCUGGGCAACAGGGACAUGCAAUUUGCAAGGCAAAGUGUGCCAAUGACACUGAUAUGAAUAGUAGAGA